UACAGAGGGUGCGAGCGUUGUCCGGAAUCACUGGGCGUAAAGGGCGCGUAGGCGGUCUGGUAAGCGUGUGGUGAAAGCUCGGGGCUCAACCCCGAGUCGGCCGUGCGAACUGCGAGACUGGAGCAGAUCAGAGGCAGGCGGAAUUCCGGGUGUAGCGGUGGAAUGCGUAGAGAUCCGGAAGAACACCGGUGGCGAAGGCGGCCUGCUGGGCAGUAGCUGACACUGAGGCGCGACAGCGUGGGGGAGCAAACAGG
rnacentral:rRNA from 1 species